rnacentral:rRNA from 1 species
AGUGAACGCUGGCGGUAGGCCUAACACAUGCAAGUCGAACGGCAGCACAGUAAGAGCUUGCUCUUACGGGUGGCGAGUGGCGGACGGGUGAGGAAUACAUCGGAAUCUACUUUUUCGUGGGGGAUAACGUAGGGAAACUUACGCUAAUACCGCAUACGACCUACGGGUGAAAGCAGGGGAUCUUCUGACCUUGCGCGAUUGAAUGAGCCGCUGUCGGAUUAGCUAGUUGGCGGGGUAAAGACCCACCAAGGCGACGAUCCGUAGCUGGUCUGAGAGGAUGAUCAGCCACACUAGAACUGAGACACGGUCCAGACUCCUACGGGAGGCAGCAGUGGGGAAUAUUGGACAAUGGGCGCAAGCCUGAUCCAGCCAUACCGCGUGGGUGAAGAAGGCCUUCGGGUUGUAAAGCCCUUUUGUUGGGAAAGAAAAGCAGCAGGUUAAUACCCCGCUGUUCUGACGGUACCCAAAGAAUAAGCACCGGCUAACUUCGUG